UGUGUUUAUUUUGUUCAUUAGGGAACUCCUUCCACCAUCAGGUGAACAUCAGGAGUCAGGACAAAUGAUGACUUUGUUGGGAGUUUAGCUCCCAGUAGGAGAAACAAUAGGCAGAUGCUGAGAUGGGAGUGAAUUAGGGACGAGGAUAGAUUUCAAAGGGGAUGCAGAGGUUGAAAGGUGAUGGCGACUCAUGGUCGAGGAGGGAGUGAGCAGACCUCCCUAAACCAACGACUGAUAAGAGGAGGAAUCCUGGGGAAGUGUCGGAGCCAUAAAAUCCAUCCACAGGUUGUAUUUCAUCUCAGAGUCACCCAACAGGUUUAAGAAUCACACACGGUUGGAGCAGGCGACUCCAAUGCGAGACGGUCCAGAUCGGCAACGACACCCAGUAGAAACGGCGUUGUGGGGGUUUUACGACGUUGUUGGAUAAGCCAGGAGGUGGCCUGGGGGUGAUUAGCAUCACCAAAGGCUAUGUGAAGGGAUGCUUUUACACCUACCUCAACAUGAGGGACUGGGGGAGAACAGAAUACAACUAGAGUAUCUGCCGAUUUGGGAACAUUAUUGUAUGCAGUGAAAAACACAAUCAUAAGAUUCUAAACAACAGAGUUGUGUAGAUGACAUUGAUUUAAGGUGUUAAGAAGAACAUACAGUCAUUCUAUCAAUGAAACAACUCACAAAUUGAUUAGAAUGUUUUUAGGAAAACACUAGAUGUUAGAGUCUAGCUACUCAAGUGGCAUUUUUGGGAUAACAGCAGACGAUGGCCAAUGCAGGUAGAUCCAACAUGACUUUUCUUCCUGGAACGAAUGUGCAAUGACAUUGCUCUUCUCAUACACUGACACAAGGACUGAUGAGACACACAGAUGAUACAAUUACUCCACAUUAAAAGAAAUAGCUAAAACUGGGAAAUAAGUGAGUGAAAUGUUGAGUUCCAGUUAUGUUUAAAUAUGCACACACUAGAUGGUAGAACUUGUUGGCUUGAAGAGUUUGGUAAACCAGAAGAAAGAGCAACAUGAAUUGGGAGAACACACACACACAC
ensembl:lncRNA